rnacentral:rRNA from 1 species
UACGUAGGGCGCAAGCGUUGUCCGGAAUUAUUGGGCGUAAAGAGCUCGUAGGCGGCUUGUCGCGUCUGCCGUGAAAGUCCGGGGCUCAACUCCGGAUCUGCGGUGGGUACGGGCAGACUAGAGUGAUGUAGGGGAGACUGGAAUUCCUGGUGUAGCGGUGAAAUGCGCAGAUAUCAGGAGGAGCACCGAUGGCGAAGGCAGGUCUCUGGGCAUUAACUGACGCUGAGGAGCGAAAGCAUGGGGAGCGAACAGG